CUGUUGAGGGGCUGGAGAUGACCUUUCUGACAGUUAAGACAUUUAAGAAGCAAUAAAUCCCAUUGUCUCGCCCUCCCAUCUGUUAUGUCUGCCUGCGGUUUCCCAAACACUCAGCUCGCCUUACUGCAGGAGAGAAGCCAAGGCUGACCUCGGGCUCCCACUGCCUGGCCCAGCUUCCUGCCCACUGGAGGCUGUGUCUGGGCACCUGCUCAGCAGCCCGCCAGCCAGGGGUUGACAGCUCCUGGCACGCUCCAGCCAACAUGUCUUCAACUAACCCACCGGCUCCGUCUUCCACUGUGAAGGAACACCACCUGGGAUGCCUGUCUUCGUGUCCUAUGCCCCUUGUUUCUUAUAACUGCACAAACAGUUAUAAACGAACAUUACAGAAG